CUACGUGCCAGCAGCCGCGGUAAUACGUAGGUGGCAAGCGUUGUCCGGAAUUAUUGGACGUAAAGCGCGCGCAGGCGGAUUGGUCAGUCUGUCUUAAAAGUUCGGGGCUUAACCCCGUGAUGGGAUGGAAACUGCCAAUCUAGAGUAUCGGAGAGGAAAGUGGAAUUCCUAGUGUAGCGGUGAAAUGCGUAGAUAUUAGGAAGAACACCAGUGGCGAAGGCGACUUUCUGGACGAAAACUGACGCUGAGGCGCGAAAGCCAGGGGAGCGAACGGGAUUAGAUACCCCGGUAGUCCUGGCCGUAAACGAUGGGUACUAGGUGUAGGAGGUAUCGACCCCUUCUGUGCCGGAGUUAACGCAAUAAGUACCCCGCCUGGGGAGUACGACCGCAAGGUUGAAACUCAAAGGAAUUGACGGGGGCCCGCACAAGCGGUGGAGUAUGUGGUUUAAUUCGACGCAACGCGAAGAACCUUACCAGGUCUUGACAUUGAUGGACAGAACUAGAGAUAG
rnacentral:rRNA from 1 species